AUGAACGCUGGCGGCGUGCCUAAUACAUGCAAGUCGAGCGAACAGACGAGGAGCUUGCUCCUCUGACGUUAGCGGCGGACGGGUGAGUAACACGUGGAUAACCUACCUAUAAGACUGGGAUAACUUCGGGAAACCGGAGCUAAUACCGGAUAAUAUAUUGAACCGCAUGGUUCAAUAGUGAAAGACGGUUUUGCUGUCACUUAUAGAUGGAUCCGCGCCGCAUUAGCUAGUUGGUAAGGUAACGGCUUACCAAGGCAACGAUGCGUAGCCGACCUGAGAGGGUGAUCGGCCACACUGGAACUGAGACACGGUCCAGACUCCUACGGGCGGCAGCAGUAGGGAAUCUUCCGCAAUGGGCGAAAGCCUGACGGAGCAACGCCGCGUGAGUGAUGAAGGUCUUCGGAUCGUAAAACUCUGUUAUUAGGGAAGAACAAAUGUGUAAGUAACUAUGCACGUCUUGACGGUACCUAAUCAGAAAGCCACGGCUAACUACGUG
rnacentral:rRNA from 1 species